CAGCGUUGGGAGAAGAUCUAUGUCUCAAGCUGAUGCUGUGGCCUGUGUCUAACUGAACCACAGUUUAAAUGUUUCAGCAAAACUUGACAUAUUACUUGACAGUGAACCAGAUGAGGACCCCCAGAUGUUGUCCUCUCCAAAACACCCCUAUAGUCCCUGUGAUGAGAUGGAGAACCUUGCUGAUAUCAUUAGAAACUUCAAGAGGGAGAACAUUAGUGAGCGUUCUACGUUGACGGUUGUGGCAAGAAGGAGGCGAAUUCUACACAGCGCCAUAACAGCUCUAAACAAGGGCUAUUUUGACUGGCACAAACGUCCACAGAUUGAAUUUGUAGGCGAGAUGGCUGAUGAUUACGGCGGACCUACAAG